rnacentral:rRNA from 1 species
GGUUCGAGGUGGAAGCAUGGUGACAUGUGGAGCUGACGAAUACUAAUCGAUCGAAGACUUAAUCAAAUU